UUCGGAAAGCUGUAUAAAUAGCCAUCUCAGGCAUACACACACACACAGACGCUCAGCAAUUCUCACCCUUUCUCACUCUAGAAAACUCUCUCGCUUCUAACCGGAAUCUGCAAGGCCCUCUUUAUUUCGUGUGAAUGGCGACGUCGUGAACCCUAACUCGCCAUACUCAAAUUCUGAAUGGAUUCAACAACAAGUGGAAAGGCGUUGGCUGGAACCACCAGAAAUUUCCAAAAUAAUUCAAAAUUUCAAUUACUUUCCCUUAAGGAUCGAGCAGCCACAAAGGCCACCAGCUAAUUCCUGGUUCCUAUAUGACCAAACUGUAAUGCCAAAUUCACAUGAGGACGGAUACAACUGGUGGAAAAGCGACGUGGGAAAUACAACUAAAGCUGAUAUAAUAUUGAAGGUUGAUAGGACUGAUGUUAUCAAAUGUUGCAUGGUUCAUGGAGAGGAUAACCUGAACUUCCAAAGACGCAGUUAUUGGAUUCUUGAUGAGCAGUUCAAGAACAUUGUUAUUGUGCAUUACAGAGAAAUCAAUGAGGUAUUCUGAGCACAAAUUUCUGGUCACGAAUUUCAUGUUUCCCUUAAUUUCCGGCUCUGUAUUGAGAUACUAUAACCAAAUCAACACUGCAUAAAAUGCAAGCAUUUAAUACACACACACACACACACACACAAGUAAAUUCCUACUCAACCUGUGUUGUAAUGUGUCAAAUUGUCUUGAGUCAUACGAGGACAUCUGAAGCAGACAUGGCAGACACAUUUAGAUCACAAUUAAAAUGUCCUUAGAAUGGCUUCAUUUGAACUAUUUUGAUCUUGAUUUGGCUCAUAAGUAUGUUUUAUAAUUGUUUUUGAAAAAUAGCUUUGUAAAUCUUAAGUUUUAUACAUUUUUUCAAACUGGUGAUCCCUAGGAAAUUAUGGAUAUUCAAAAAGUAGAGUUGGUUGAUUUUUUUAUUUUUAUUUUUAUUUUUUUUAUGACUAUACUUUCUUUCACAAUUUAUGCAUGAAAAUCACUCUAUUUUAUCUGAUACAUCUUCUUAUUGCACGAACCUAAAUUCUUAAAGCAUGGUAAUACUACUUGGGUUGCUUUAUAUGAUGAAUUGCAUAACAUGUCAUCAAAUAAUACUUUCAACUUAGAAUGUGAUGAAAUUGAUAUAUUUAGACUGGCUUUUACAGAACUACAUAAUGAUUUUCUUAGUUUACAAGUUGAAAAUUUUGAAUUGUUAGAAUAAAAUAAAGGCAGUGGAACAUAUAAGAGAGAAUCAAAAACUCGAAUUUGCUAGUUCAGUGUUUAUGUUAACUGAAGUCAAAAAAGAUAAAGGUGUACUUCACAGCCUAGGAAGAUGAUUGAAGAAUUAAAAUUUAGACUUGAAAAAUUAGAAUUGCUUCAGAAAACUAAACACAAUACAAUUGAAAAACUAGAUUCGAAGGAUAUGGUUGUUAAUUCUACAUGUUGUCAACAUAGUUAUGGAAAAUCUAGUAAGACUGAAAAGGUAGAUCCCCCUAGACAAGUUCCAAAGUGUCAUUAUUGUUUAGAGAAAGGUGACAUAAAAUAUAACUACACCAAACAUAUAAAUGAAUUUAAUAAGAAAAAAGAAGCGUAAAGCUCUUCCUAAAGAAAAGACUCUACGAACUUCAAAAGUAAUUAUUCUUUCCCCCAUUAAGAGUUUAGAGACAAAUAAAAAUCAAAUCACUUCUAGUGAAAGGGAAAUUUGGGUGAGAAAAGAGAGAGGGAAAUUUGGGUGAGAAAUGAAGAGGUCGAAUGCUUAGUACAUAUAUGGCACUUAUCGAUGAUGAAGAUAAAUGUUUGUAUUUUGAUAGAGUCUUCUAGGCACAUGACCGGAAACAAAUCUUUUUUUGUCAUCUUUGACAGAUUGUGAUGGUGGUAUGGUUAGGUUUGGAGAUUGUAAAAGGCACAUAGGCUAUGGAAUUGUAACAAUUUCUUGAAUUUAGAGUUAAGAGAUGUUUGUUAUGUAGAUGGACUGAAAACAAAUUGAAGUCAACUAUGUGAUAAACAACAAAAAGUCUAUUUUACACAAUAUGAAUGUGUAGUAAUAGGUAAGGAAGGGAAUAAUACUUUGAAAGGUACAAGGUCCAUAGGUGACAACUGACAAGUGACUGUUAUGUCAUACAGUUAGAGUGUGUAAUAGUGUACAAACUGAUGCCAUGAUGCUAUGACAUUGGAGAGUUGGUCAUGUUAACUAUUAAGACUUGGUCAAAUUUUAUAAACAUGAUCUUGCUAUAGGUUUGCCUAAGUUUAGAAAAACACCAGUCAAAAUGUGUGAUCCAUGUCAAAAAGGAAAACAAACAAAAUUAUCACACAAGAGACUCUGAACAAUAAAUACAUCUAAACCAUGUCAUCUUAUACAUAAAGAUCUCAUUGGGCGAAUUCUAGUUGAAAAUAUAAGUGAUAGGAGAUAUAUGUUAGUUAUAGAAAAUGAUUUUUCUUGGUACACAUGGUUAGUUUUCCUUUGACAAAAAUCAGACACUUAUCAUAAAUUCAAGAUUAUAUGUCAAGGAAUCCAAAUUGAAAAACUGACAUAAUUAAAAGUGAUAGAGGUAGAGAAUUCUACGGAGAAUGUAUUAAAUUUAGUUAUGAAUUAUAAAUUAAACGUGAAUUGUCUGUUGCAGGUACACCACAACUAUAUGUUGUAGCUGAAAGAAAGAGUAACUUAAGAGAUGGUCAGAGCAAUGUUACAUACUUGUCUAGCUCAACAUUUUUAGGCUGAGGCUGUGAACAAUGCUUGUCACACCCGAAAUAGAGUUUAUUUGAGGCCUAACACUGAUUAGACAUCAUGUAAAUUAUGGUUUAAUAAAAAACUUAAUAUAAAGCAUCUUAGAACUUUUGGGAGUAAAUGCUGUAUUUUGAGGGAUAGAUAGGAUCUAGGUAAGUUUGAUUCUCGUAGUGAUGAAAGAUACAUCUUAGGUUAUGCUUCAAAUAGUAGGGCUUAUCACGUCUAUAAUUUGAGAACUAAAAAGGUUAUGGAGUAAAUAAAUGUUAGAAUUGAUGAUGAAGGUAAAGCUAUUGAUAAUGAUGAUUUUUUAUUUUUUUUAUUUUUAUAAGUAAAAAUUGGGUUAUAGAUCCACCAAAGUGGGAAGCCUUAACCGGAUGCGUUAACAGGUAAGCCCAAAGACUGUUCCCGUCCCUGUCAGGGGAGAUGCCAACCAUCUCUCCUUUCUAUGAACACAACUAUUGAUAAUGAUGAUGACAUUGAAUACUCACUCCACCUAAGAACCUAGAGAAGAGACCUAGCCCCUUAGACAAGGACACAAAGUACAUAGGGAUCAUCCUACUGAUGAAGUGAUUGGCAAAUUAGAUACUGGAAUUAGAACCAAAAGACCAUUACAUAGUCAAAUUAACAAUUUAUAUUGUCUUUCUCAGGAUUUUUUUUUUUGAUAAGUAUAUUGUCUUUCUCAGGAUUAACCUAAGAAAGUAGAUAAAGCCCUAACAAAUAGUGACUGAAAUAAUGAUAUGCAAGAAUAAUUACAACAAAUUGUUAAGAAUGAUGUUUUGACACUAGUUCCUAGGUUUAAAGAUGCAUAUAUAAUUGGAACUAAGUGGAUAUUUAAAAACAAGCUUGAUGCCCAUGGCAUAGUAGCUAGGAAUAAAGCACAAUUAGUUGCACAGGGGUAAACCAACUCGAGGACAUAAAUUUGGAUGGAACUUUUGCACCUGUUGUACGAUUGAAGUCUUCUAGUCUAUGAGACUAGAGAAGGAGUUAAUGCCAAAUUGGAGUUUGGAGAGAAGCUUUAGAACAAAAAGGUUUAAGAUAAGUAGAAGUAAAACUGAAUAUAUGGAAUAUAACUUCAGUAAAUUUAGAAAUACAAAUGAGGAUAUAGUGAAGAUUGAAAAUCAAGAUGUACAAAAAAAAAAAAAAAAGAA